AGUGAACGCUGGCGGUAGGCCUAACACAUGCAAGUCGAACGGCAGCACAGGAGAGCUUGCUCUCUGGGUGGCGAGUGGCGGACGGGUGAGGAAUACAUCGGAAUCUACUCUGUCGUGGGGGAUAACGUAGGGAAACUUACGCUAAUGCCGCAUACGACCUACGGGUGAAAGCAGGGGACCUUCGGGCCUUGCGCGAUUGAAUGAGCCGAUGUCGGAUUAGCUAGUUGGCGGGGUAAAGGCCCACCAAGGCGACGAUCCGUAGCUGGUCUGAGGAGAUGAUCAGCCACACUGGAACUGAGGCACGGUCCAGACUCCUACGGGAGGCAGCAGUGGGGAAUAUUGGACAAUGGGCGCAAGCCUGAUUCAGCCAUACCGCGUGGGUGAAGAAGGCCUUCGGGUUGUAAAGCCCUUUUGUUGGGAAAGAAAUCCAGCUGGCUAAUACCCGGUUGGGAUGACGGUACCCAAAGAAUAAGCACCGGCUAACUUCGUGCCAGCCGCCGCAGUAA
rnacentral:rRNA from 1 species